rnacentral:rRNA from 1 species
GUACACUCCUGCGGGAGGCAGCAGUGGGGAAUAUUGGACAAUGGGCGCAAGCCUGAUCCAGCCAUGCCGCGUGAGUGAUGAAGGCCCUAGGGUUGUAAAGCUCUUUCACCGGUGAAGAUAAUGACGGUAACCGGAGAAGAAGCCCCGGCUAACUUCGUGCCAGCAGCCGCGGUAAUACGAAGGGGGCUAGCGUUGUUCGGAUUUACUGGGCGUAAAGCGCACGUAGGCGGACUAUUAAGUCAGGGGUGAAAUCCCGGGGCUCAACCCCGGAACUGCCUUUGAUACUGGUAGUCUUGAGUUCGAGAGAGGUGAGUGGAAUUCCGAGUGUAGAGGUGAAAUUCGUAGAUAUUCGGAGGAACACCAGUGGCGAAGGCGGCUCACUGGCUCGAUACUGACGCUGAGGUGCGAAAGCGUGGGGAGCAAACAGGAUUAGAUACCCCUGUAGUCCCAUG